AGGAAAAGGAGGAGGAGGCAGAGGCGGUCUGGGCCGGGCCGGGCCUGACCCCUGCGUCCCGGGGGCACAGGCGUUCUUAAGGCUGCAGAGCCCUGGGUCCCCCACCCGGCCCCGGUUCACUUUGAGCGGUCCCAAGGCCUGAGGGCCUACUGUCCAGUCCCCAGGUUAUCGUCCUGAGCAAAGACAGACCCCGAGCCCUGCGGUCUUGGGGCUCAAACAGUCCCUGGAUGGCCAAACAAGCAAAUAUUCGCCAUGGCAGUGGGUGCUGGAAGGGUGGCUCACGGAGCUGACGCCCUCCGCAGAGAACCGUGGUCUAGUCCUGCGGUCACGAGGCCUAUCUGGGACAGUGGUGUUUGAGCUGAGACUUUAACGAAUAGAGACAGGUGAGGUUCCUGCAGCCCAGGGCUUCAGCGUGAACAACCCCAGAAGGAAAAAGAGUGCUGUUGUUAAAGGUAUCUGGCAUCAUGGACCCAACCAUCACCAGGAGUUUCUCACUUCAUCUCUGCCGGCACCACAAUCAAGAUAAUGAACAUCUCGCUUACCCCAGAAGUUUCCUGUGCCCUGUCACUCCUCCGUAUUCCUCCAUCCUCAGGAUUUCAUCAAAUGGUCUGCUGCACUGUGCUGGAAUUUUGAACUCCCCAGAGUAGUAAACAACAUCUUCUCAAGGGUAUACAAGUCAUCAGAUAGAGAAAACACCCAUUAUAGAGCUGUGGAGCCCUUACGAUAUAGUGCUAUGCUGCAACAAAUUAGACAGAAGAGUAUUUGUUGAAUAAUAAAAGAGUCUCACUCUAUUGCCCAGGCUGGAGUGCAGUGGCAUGAUCUCGGUACACUGCAAGCUCUGUCUCCUGAGUUCAAGCGAUUCUCAUGCCUCAGCCUCCCGAGUAGCUGGGAUUACAGUUUUCCAAUAAUAACAUAGAAAAAAGGAAGAAUUUGAGAGUUUCUCAGAUUAGGCAAUUCCUUGAAGAAUCUGAGAACACAGAAGCUCCCCUCCCUACUUUCCAUGAUUGAAAUCAGUGAUUCAUUGGUUUCUUUGUGUGGGCUUUUGAAAGAUCAUUAGAAACCAACCUGAAGAUCAUGAGAUUCUUGUGGACACAGGAGCAAUGAGUGGCAAUACAGUGCUUUCUAAUGCAACCUACUUUAAAAGUUGCUGGAAGGCAGUUCAAGUAACUGCCUUAGUAUCAAUUGUUAUUAUUUCGAAUUGGUUAUGAAGUUGAAUAAGUUUGGAGUAUCCUUAACCAUACUUUUUCU
rnacentral:lncRNA from 10 species